ensembl:miRNA
UGGCGACGCCCAAAGGCUCGGCAUUAAGGUGGGUGGAAUAUUAUAACAAUAUCCCCCCCAUGUUGUUAUAGUAUUCCACCUACCCUGAUGU